CCUACGGGCGGCAGCAGUGAGGAAUAUUGGUCAAUGGUCGGGAGACUGAACCAGCCAAGCCGCGUGAGGGAGGAAGGUACAGAGUAUCGUAAACCUCUUUUGUCAGGGAACAAAGGCGGGGACGUGUCCCCGGAUGAGUGUACCUGAAGAAAAAGCAUCGGCUAACUCUGUGCCAGCAGCCGCGGUAAUACGGAGUAUGCGAGCGUUAUCCGGCUUUAUUGGGUUUAAAUGGUGCGCAGCCGGUCUGUUAAGUCAGCGGUAAAAGCCCGGGGCUCACCCCCGUCCCGCCGUUGAAACUGGCAGUCUCGAGUUGGAGAGAGGUAUGCGGAAUGCGCGGUGUAGCGGUGAAAUGCAUAGAUAUCGCGCAGAACUCCGAUUGCGAAGGCGGCAUGCCGGCUCCACACUGACGCUGAGGCACGAAAGCGUGGGUAUCGAACAGGAUUAGAUACCCGGGUAGUC
rnacentral:rRNA from 1 species